rnacentral:rRNA from 1 species
CCAAAUCAGUUUUAAAGAAAAUAGUUUCCAGACAGGUUCAGUUUCGCAAGGACAAUAAUAAACAAAUCACAAGGCCAGACAAUACCAAAGGUCGAUAUAUACCUACCUGAACCGGUUUUCUCAGAUAAUCAACUAUAUGUCGCGCUUUCUAGAUCGACCGCGACAUGAAACAUAAUGGUACUAAUAGGUACACAUAAUAAGAACUACGAGAAGAAUAAGAAGAUCAAUACAAGCAACACAAACACAAAAAAGAAAAAGAAGAAGAAUAACAACACAAGCGAGACAUACACAAAAAGUAUUGUCUACACAUAAGUCCUCACCAAAUAG